CUCCUCCGAACUUGUCUUCAUCUCUUUCAACAAGAGAGACAACACGAUGGUCUAAGAAUGGUGCAGCAGUCUGGUGCAUCAGCUUUCGGAAAAUUCAGGGUCAAGGAUUGACUAUUCUUGGAGACCUUGUUCUGAAAGACAAGAUUGUUGUUUAUGAUUUGGCUGGCCAAAGGAUUGGAUGGGCUAACUAUGACUGUAAGUUCCCAUAUCAAGAGCAUUUUCCAGCCGUUGGCUUGAUUUUUACAGUGCCUUCUAUUCAUCAUUUAUCUGAUUGGAUUAAAAG